GGCCUCAUUUAAACUUGCUUUGAUGUGUUGUUCUCGUAUGCAUCAUCUCUUGCCAUGAGUAGCUUCAUAUAGCCUUUGUCAUGCAUCAUACUUGGUUGAGCAUCAUGCCUUAUUCAUGUGUGGUGUGUUUACCAUGUUGUGUGCUUCUUCUCGAUAGUUCCCGUGUCGUUGCGAUCGUGAGGAUUCGUUCGUCUUCGUGGCUUCAUCUUCUUCAUGGACUCGUUCUUCUUCCUAGCGGGAUUUCAGGCAAGAUGACCGUCACGUUGGAUCUCAUUACUAUCAUUGCUAUGCUAGUUGCUUCGUUCUAUCGCUAUGUUGCACCACCUAUCACUUGCUCUUCAAGCCUCCCAAAUUGCCAUGAACCUCUAACCUUUGUCAUCCUUCCUAGCAAACCGUUGUUUGGCUAUAUUACCGCUUUGCUCAGCCCCUCUUAUAGCGUUGCUAGUUGCAGGUGAAGAUGAAGAUUGCUCCAUGUUGGAUUAUGUUUAUGUUGGGAUAUCACAAUAUCUCUUAUUUAAUUAAUGCAUCUAUAUACUUGGUAAAGGGUGGAAGGCUCGGCCUUAUGCCUGGUGUUUUGUUCCACUCUUGCCGCCCUAGUUUCCAUCAUACCGGUGUUAUGUUCCUUGAUUUUGCGUCCCUUACACGGUUGGGUGAUUUAUGGGAUCCCCUUGACAGUUUGCUUUGAAUAAAACUCUUCCAGCAAGGCCCAACCUUGGUUUAGAUUUGCCUCACCUAGCCUUUUUCCCUUGGGAGUCGCGCAUCCCGAGGGUCAUCUUUAUUUUACCCCCCCGGCCAGCGCUUGUCUAAGUGCUGGUCCAAACCGAGCGAUGUCCGGCGCCCCCUGGGCAACUAGGGUCUAUGCCAACCCGACGUCUUGCUCAUCCGGUGUGUACUGAGAACGAGAUACGUGCGACUCCUAUCGGGAUUGUUGACACAUCGGGCGGCUUUGCUGGUUUUGUUUUACCAUCGUCGAAAUGUCUUGUAACCGGGAUUCCGAGACUGAUCGGGUCUUUCCGGGAGAAGGAAUAUCCUUCGUUGACCGUGAGAGCUUAUAAUGGGCUAAGUUAGGACACCCCUGCAGGGUAUAAACUUUCGAGAGCCGUGCCCGCGGUUAUGUGGCAGAUGGGAAUUUGUUAAUAUCCAGUUGUAGGGAACUUGACACUUGACUGAAUUAAAACACAUCAACCGCGUGUGUAACCGUGAUGGUCUCUUUUCGGCGGACUCCGGGAAGUGAACACGGUUUCUGGGUUAUGUUUGACGUAAGUAGGAGUUCAGGAUCACUUCUUGAUCAUUGCUAGUUUCACGACCGUUCCGUUGCUUCUCUUCUCGCUCUUAUUUGCGUAAGUUAGCCACCAUACUUGCUUAGCUGUUGCUGCAACCUCACCACCUUAUCCAUUCCUUUCCCAUUAAGCUUUGCUAGUCUUGAUACCCAUGGUAAUGGGAUUGCUGAGUCCUCGUGGCUCACAGAUUACUACAACACCAGUUGCAGGUACAUGUUAUGCGAUGAUCAUGACGCGAGAGCGAUGUUACUUGUUUUGGAGUCCUUCUUCUACUUCUUCUUCGAUCAGGGAAUAGGUUCCAGGUCGGCAGCCUGGGCUAGCAGGGUGGAUGUCGUUUGAGCUUCUGUUUGUGUUCCAUCCGUAGUCGGAUGUUGAUCUUGUGUAUGAUGUAUUGAUGUAUUCUUGUGGCAUUUGUAUGCCUUGUAUGUAUCCCCAUAUAUUAUGUAAUGUUGAUGUAAUAAUAUCCACCUUGCAAAAGCGUGUCAAUAUGCGAUUCUAUCCUUGGUGGGACCUUCGAGUCUCUUUAGGAUAGUAUCGCAUAUUGGGCAUGACACAUAGGUAGUAAUAUGGCCGACAGUUGUACAAAGGCAACGUAUGGCAUCGUUGGAAACCACAAGUAAGGUUCAUCUUAUCAUAGAGGCAAAUUAGAUGUUCUUACGAUGAUAGACAAUGCGUGCAGAAGACACGUGUUGCUGUAGAUGGUCCAUCUAGAGGACAUGGACGAUGAGAGCCAAGCGGUGCUCUGCGGUAACCUUGAAAGGGAAGGUGCAGAUACGUCCUUCAUGGAUGUUUGCACGGCGGUGGAACUCCGACCAGUUUGUGGUUAUUGUGGCUCUCUUGUCUGUUCCCAGCAUGAUACGACAAUUGGUGCGCAGAUUGAUGUUUGCGAGUCUGACCUUGAGUGUGUUACCAUCUGGUUUGAUGUACUCUUCCAGCUUUUCUUUGGUGUAGUGGACCUGAAAAUACUGGUACACGAGAGGAAUUAAUUGAGUAGAUUGCAGAGUAUGUAUAGUUUAAAUAUAGACAGUGAGAACAAUUAUCAGUAAAUAUUGGCACGAAUCAAAAGAAGAGUGCAAAUACAGGAAAAUGCAAAUACAGAGAAGCAUGCUACAUUCCUUCCUAUGUGGAGUAUAAGAUGUAAAUUGGUUGUUUCUGUGAUCAUGCGCACGCUAGUGAAGGAGAACAAAUACAGGAAGAAAGAAAACAUGUAUAUCAGACUAUAUGAAUAUUAGUUUCUAAGCAGGGCACACAGCUUUUGCAAUAUUUCGCGAUAAAGUCAAUUUGGUGAAUCAAAAGCACACUGCAGGCUGUGCUUCUGAUGAUUAGUCAGGUAAGUAGUUUGGUUGUGAGGCAUAAGCAAAGAUAAUUCUAUUUUUCAAUGAAGUGGAUGGAAGGAGUGUACCAUCCGUUGGCCUGGCUUUGCGAAUGUUUUGUUGAUGGUGCAGACAUAGUAUUUGAUAUCUGGUUUUUUGCGUCAGAACAUUGCAUACAACUUGUUCACAUGGUGUUGAUAGAACUUUUCUUCAUUACCCUAGUGACAGUAUUUUUCAAGCUCUCCACAGUAUUGGAUAGCAGGGGGUGGUCCUGAAUUUUAAGAUAGAAAUGAAGCAACACAUGUAAGAAGGCUGAAUACUAUUUAUUGUUAGGAGAGUAAGUUCUGACCAAGGGAAAAGUAGAAUUAAGCUUUAAACCUAUUGUAAGAAGAAUAUAGUAACUAAGUUAGUUAAGUUGAGCAUUAUUGAUCGGGUUGAUAUAUGCUAUCUCGGUUCUAAGGUGGAAUAUUGGCGUUGUAGAAGUACAUCAGAUCAUAAAAACUAUCCGGUCGUCUUAUUUUAAAGGGAAAAUAUCAGAACAGGAUAAUAAGCAUUGUAGCUUGGCAUUGGCUCACCGCGAAUGAUAUACUCCGACUGCUCAUAUUCUUCAUCCUUUAUUAAGUAUCGAGAGAAUAGUUAGUGCGAGAAAUCAGAAAUUUGUUUGCUGGCAAAAGGAAUUGUUGGCUUACAGUUAAUUUAUGCACUUUAAAAGAGUAUUAACAUGGAUUUAACUUGUGUAGCCUGGUUCUUUAAUAAACAAAUCAGUAUGCAGUCAUUUGAGCAUAUGUGAAGCAACCGUUUGAGGCUAUUUCAUUUCGUUUUGCUGGUUAAUAUCUGUACAAGUACUGUAGAGUUGGGCAUGAAUAGUGUGUGAGCUAUUGCCUUAGAAAUAUCGUGUGAGGUAUAGCAGGCAUAUCAAUCAAUUAAGUAAAUACUUGUGGAGGUUAUACAUAAUCAUGGCAGAAAAGACUGGAAAUUUGUGUUCAUCUGAAGUAUUUGGCAAAGGGUGGAGAGGCAGGUCAAAGACGAAGUGGUGGAUUCAUGGAUAGAAUAAGAUUAAUCGAUUUUAAAACCUAGUGUCAGCCGCACCUGCUGGGAUUCGGAAUGGGUGGCGGUUCUUGUGGCAGAAGACGGUGCUUGUCGACGGAGACCGGCCCGCGCCUGAAGUUGGGCUGGAUUAGCCAUUGCCGCAGAAGAAACCGAUGGCUGGCGAUGGUGACUCUUCGGCACGUGACAGCGGCUUCGAUCUGCGUAGCCGUGGUGCUUGACAAGGUGUCUCCAAUAGUGGCGGCAGAUCCUGCACUUCGCCAUCUUGGGCAAUGUUCCCACAAAAAUUGCAAUGAUCACUUGUCUCUCAUCCCUUCCAAACACUACCUCUUCCUCAAAUUCAAGUGCUCGAUUAUCCCAAAGGACCCGCUUUAGCUCCUGGCCCGUGUAGAUUCUAUAGCAUGCAAAGAUCGAUCAGUUAACAAAGGAAUGGCCAACUUACGGGUUUUAUUUACGACAAGAAUAUGGCAGAUUACUUACUGCAAGUCAGCAAGGAUAAUCGUUUAUGUAUUCGAUGGUUCUAGCUGGUGCGUUGACUGGACAGGAACGACAUAAAAAAUGGCAAUGGUCCUUCAAAUGGAAUCUUCAAAACAAAGAACCGAUGAAACCAUAUGACAUAGAAAAAUCUAAAAUGAGGUGCUUCAUAUGGUUAGGCAUGGAACAUCAUGACUGACCAAUGAAACGGGCGGGCGUGCUAGUUGGUCUUGAGAUAAAUCCAGCAAGAACAGACCCAUGCUCACCUUUCUUGGAAGGGUGCGACUGCUCUAGGGACAACAAGCCACAAGAUCAACCAAUCAGAAAGAAACAAUCUGCCCUAUAUUUAGUUUCAGACUUCCAGUCACCGAAACUGGAUGGGCCAAAAUAUGAUCUUCAGAAAAUGUAGGAAAUAAUAAACAAGCAAAAGGAUUAUCCCUGGAAAUCAAUAAUGUUGCAAAGCAGUUAAGAUCAUAUGAAAAAUUACAUAUCUUACCCUGCUGCUUGCACAACUCAACGCCUGCUCCUUCUCCCUGUCACUGGCAUGGUUGCAUUAUACACUAUAACCAACAUCCAUGAAUAAAAUUUAGUAAAAGUAUUUGAUAACAUAAGAAAAGGAGUGAAAUGAGAUAUACAGUUGGUUCAAUAGUCCAAUGCUUUGCUAGAUCAUAGAAGCUACUCUAAAUACAUGACUCGACAGUAUGGGAAAUUAAUAAAGGUACGAUAUUAAUGAUUUAUUUUCAUAUCAAAAGAAGAUAGGUAGUGGAGAUUGCAUUAUUAAAUAAAUAACAAAAGAAUGUACUUUUAUGUAGAAUUAAAGUGUGGAGAGCAAACAAAUAAGCCAGAGGGAAAACUAUGUAUUAGUCCUCAUGAAUAAAAAGUUCAGUCUUUCUUAGUCAAGAAUCUACUAAAAUGUAAUUAAUAUACAACAAAUCAAUUUUAAAAAAUCCUGGGAAAACAUGCCGACCAAAAUAAAGAGGUAGAAAGCCUAUUUUAAAUCCAUGACUGGUUACAAAGUUGCAUCAACCUACUACACUAAAUAUAUAAUGGCAGUUCUAGAUGCUGCUUAACACUCAAAUUAGAAGAAAACACUCAAAUUUCCACGAACUGAAUCAGAAUCAUCUAAGGAGCACGCACAUAAGUAAACUAUAAUGCAAUUAUAAAAAUCAGUAUUGAUCUUGGCUUGUGCUUCCUUUGACAUCUCAAUACGAUUGAAAAUAUUCUCCCAACCAAUAGUUAACUACAACAUGGUGUGAUGAGCAUUACGAAUCUAAAGAGCUUCUGAAAUAAUUAUGCCACCGUGAGAAGUUCCUAGUGCUGUUGAACAAAACCCCAAAGAACCAUUAGCUACUAUAUCUGCGCGACUAAAAAGUAGCAGACAGUAACAUUUUUGGUGUUGAUGAACCAACAAUCCAAUAUAUAGGUACAGAAUUGUGUGUUAUUAUAAAUCCAUAGAAAGUGUGCAAUGUUACUGACUUGCAAAAUCUCAAGAUACAUCAGACCACAUACUUCUUGACAAUACAAAGAGCAACCAAACAUUAUCUAUACCCGAUUUGUUCAUAAAUGAUUAGAAGUAUGAACUAUUUGUAUUUCAGGGAACAAAUCACUGUAAGCCACCAAAUAAAUACAGUAGAGGAGAUGUUCCUACUCACGCCUCUCACAUUUGGAAAGCAAGGCAACUGAAUAAAUAAGUAAAACUGCAACUACUUUUUUUUAGUAUUUCUAGUGAAAAGAGGAGCAUGAACGAAUCAUCACCAUGGAGCAACAGUGCAUGAUACCGUGCAAUGCAACAGUCAUAGCUAUAAUUGUUCAUGUUAGCAAUCUAUAGCAAGAAAAAUAAAAUUAAACCCAUCUUUAUUGUCCGAACCCAUUAUUUUCUCCUUUGAUUUUGAAGAUAAAAGGAUGGAAUGAUUAUUCUUCAUAUUAGUAAGAUAACAUCAACACAAAAAUUAAAUUAAGAAACCAUCAUCUUGUCCAACCCAAUAGCCCCCUUCUUUUUCUUUGAAACUUAAAUUAUGCAUUACAACCAUCAUUGUCCAGACCAAACAUGUACAGUACAAAAAUAGAUAGAUGGGAGAGGUCGGGGAGCGAUAUCACCAUUCCAGGGUACCAUCUUGAGCUCGAUGAAGGCCUCGGUGGUACUUGCUCCUCGGCCAGACUAUGAACUGUCAACCAAAUGAAAUACAUGCUACAUGUCACAAAAGACAAUCAAAAAUGGCGUUUUGGAGGACGUAGGUCGAUUAAUGCUACUUGUUACCGAACCAUGAGACCUGCUACGAAAGCAAGGGCAUGAAUUGUUUCCUUUUCUACAUUCAGGCCAUCAAACAUUACAAAAAGCAAAUACACUUGAUUUAUCAAGCAAAACAUAGGAGGCGGGAUUUGGAAGUCUGCCGCUUGCAUCUCUGAUCCUCAUGUCAUUAUUUAGAGAUGUAAAAUUAAGUGCCCUUUCAAAAUUUGAGCUCGAAUAGAAUAAUCAGACCACCCUGCAUCAUUGGCCGACAUAUGCAUGCUUGCUACUGAAAUUUUGAGUUUCUCAAACUGAAGAAUCGUCCAGAAGUGAUCAAAUGAAGCAUGGUGUAUUCUUUUCAACAGAAGAAAGACAUGGCUAGAACACAACUUUAUCUCGAGCAGAUUUUUAGUUCUAUGAAAAAAUAAAGAAGAGAGAAUGCAAUAAAACAACUAAAAAGAAAUUAAGUAUGCACACCUGCACCUACAAAGGUUUAGUAUUUUACCUAUGCAUACAACAAAAAUAUCAGAUCAAAACCAUGUUCUUGCUCCCUUGGAUAUAGCCAUNNNNNNNNNNNNNNNNNNNNNNNNNNNNNNNNNNNNNNNNNNNNNNNNNNNNNNNNNNNNNNNNNNNNNNNNNNNNNNNNNNNNNNNNNNNNNNNNNNNNNNNNNNNNNNNNNNNNNNNNNNNNNNNNNNNNNNNNNNNNNNNNNNNNNNNNNNNNNNNNNNNNNNNNNNNNNNNNNNNNNNNNNNNNNNNNNNNNNNNNNNNNNNNNNNNNNNNNNNNNNNNNNNNNNNNNNNNNNNNNNNNNNNNNNNNNNNNNNNNNNNNNNNNNNNNNNNNNNNNNNNNNNNNNNNNNNNNNNNNNNNNNNNNNNNNNNNNNNNNNNNNNNNNNNNNNNNNNNNNNNNNNNNNNNNNNNNNNNNNNNNNNNNNNNNNNNNNNNNNNNNNNNNNNNNNNNNNNNNNNNNNNNNNNNNNNNNNNNNNNNNNNNNNNNNNNNNNNGCAUAGCCAGAUUAAAACAUUAGUAAAAAAACAUUUGCUCUUCCAGUGAAAAAUAAGUAAACAUAAAGGAACAAAUCAGCGCAAGAUGCAGAUGGAUAAGGCAAGAUCAUUUAGUAAAACUGAAAUAUUCAUCAAUCAAAUGCUAAAAGCAUAUAUGACUACAUUUUAGAGGGUUACGAUGUAGAGCAUAGAUAGAUCUUAAUAGCAAAAAAAAUCGGUUCCAAAAAAGUGGCAAGUCUUAAUAAAUAUGCAAUUAAUUAGAUAUCCUUCCAGAAACAGUAAAAAUCCAUAUUGGUUCCGAUUGCAUUUCUCUUCGUGUCUUCGGAAGCUAUCCUAACCUUCCAAAAUGGUAACCCUCACCCAAGGUCCAAGGAGAGUCUUGUGAAAGCUUUCAAAAGUAUGAAUGUUUAAGAAAAGCCGCCAAUUGAAAAUGGAGACCCAGCUCAUGAGGUAUUAUACUUAGACUGAUUUACGUGUUGAUUGUUCCAAUUGCUGAGAGCAUCAUACUCUGAAAUAGAGAGCAUAUGUAGGCACGCCCAAGGAUUCAAAUCGUGUUUAAUACUCCCUCCGUUUCUUUUUGGAUGCAUAUAAAAUUUGGUCAAAGUCAAACUUUGUGAACUUUGACUAACUCUGUAGGAAAAAAUAUCAACAUCUACAAUACUAAAGCUAUAUGCUAUGGAAAUUAAUUUCAUGAUGCAUCUAAGAAUAUUGAUUUCAUGUUGUGAAUCUUGAUAUUUUUACCAUUACAAUCGGUAACUAUAAUUGUAGUGGUUAAUUUUCCAAUUAUUUUCUUUGAAGUUCUAUGCAAGUCCAAACUCCGGCAACACAUAACAGCAAAAGGAGCUUGCAAGAGCUAAAAAGCAGCCCAAACAAUAUCACUGACGGGUGCUGGGUAGCACCCUAAAGGAAAAACAACUCACUCCUAUGUAACUUGAAAACCAAAAGCUAAAAAAGAUAAGUUUAAAGACAUACCUCAAUGCAAGAUGGAAUCGCAGCUAGGCAAAAGCAAUGGCUGCUAUAGCAAUGCCUUGAUAUUUGGUACAUCAACAUAUGCAUGCCAUCUGCAAGCAGAAGUUCAGUUCAAUCCCCAAUUACCUCAAAAUAUAAACAUAUAAAGAGAUCUUGAACAGAGGCAUAGCAUGUAUUGUCAACUUCCAAGUAGACUCUGAGAAUUUGACAAUCUUUGAAGCCUUGCUAGUAAAAUUUUAAACUGCCACCGUCUGAAAUGCAUAUACACACGACCAAACAUCAAAUGUGAAUGUUAAAUUGGCGAAUACUUGGGGGAUGCACAGCAUACCCAGAAAAGGGUCCACUACACACACGACUGCAAAUACCCAUCAUAUGUAUGUAAGUGACCACAAAAGCACAUAGAAACUGCAAGGAAUUUUAGCAACCAAAGUAGACUAAUCUAACACAACCAUAUCAUACAGAGCAAUCAACUAAGACGAUAAGAACAUAGUACAACAUGAUUUGAAUCACAUGUUUUUCUCCAUUGGAGCGGUGUGCGCUCUCCACCUGUUGGCGUUCAACCGUCAUGUGGGAGGAUAGGAACGGAGGAAACUGAAUAAAUAGGCAUGGUGAAAAUCCCCAACCCUACCUGCCUCUUACCUUCUCGCCCGCAGGCACGAGGCAGCGGCGGCGACGCCGCUUGCUCAUCCACCCCACCCCUCACGGCUGCGUGCGCCGGCCGCCGGAAUGAGCCCGCGACCACUCUGUGCCAUUUUCAUCGCCCGUCCUCUGCCACCUCGGACUCGGCCUCUCCCGCAUCUCCACCUCCGCCUUCGCUUCUGUCCAUAAUGAAGGAGAAGUAAAAAAAGAUUAACCCAUGCAGGCAUUUUACCGAGCAGGUGAAGAGCAUGGAGUGAAACUCACCUUGGAACAAACGGUGCGGACAUGCAUACGGAAGAGGCAGAAGCAAGAAACCGAGCAGCGGUUGUAUGAACAACAAGAAAAUUAGAAGAGAAAGGGAAGAACAAAUCAGUGCUUGAAGAGCGAUGAGAGAAAUUGAUCUGUUGGAAGGGGAUGCACGUCCUUACCCUAACUGAACGCAUAAGCAUCAGCCACAGCGAGGAAAGCCAUGGCUCUCUAGCAAGCAGGCAGCGAGAAAGAUGAUGGCGGGCAACGACGGCAUCAGACGAUGGCUUGCGGAGACACAUGGAGAGGCAGAGCAUCGGGGCUGAGUCCUCUCCCGUCGUGCGACCUUGGAGAAGGAGGGAGCCGACCUCCGUCGCUCCACGUACCUGAAGACGGCUCAGAUCGGGAACCACCGCUGCGGCCUGAAGACAAGCGAUGGGAAGGCGAGGAGGAGGAAGAGGCGAGGCGGUGGAGGAGUAGCAGUCGGUGGCGGGGCUCCUAGGGCACAGGAGGAGGAGGUGGGAGGGAGUGGCGGCGGACAAGGGAGGGAGGAGUGAGGGGCGCGGGGCUGUGGAUUGGGGCUAGGGUUCGAUGCCUUUUUCCUCUUGCUCGAUCGCUGUGGCCCUCGUGCGACUGCUCGCUGUGGAUUUCGCUCGUGUGGUGCGGUGUGCCCUCGCGUUUUUUGCGGUGGUUUUUAC
rnacentral:lncRNA from 1 species